rnacentral:rRNA from 1 species
AGUGAACGCUGGCGGUAGGCCUAACACAUGCAAGUCGAACGGCAGCACAGUAAGAGCUUGCUCUUACGGGUGGCGAGUGGCGGACGGGUGAGGAAUACAUCGGAAUCUACUUUUUCGUGGGGGAUAACGUAGGGAAACUUACGCUAAUACCGCAUACGACCUACGGGUGAAAGCAGGGGAUCUUCGGACCUUGCGCGAUUGAAUGAGCCGAGGUCGGAUUAGCUAGUUGGCGGGGUAAAGGCCCACCAAGGCGACGAUCCGUAGCUGGUCUGAGAGGAUGAUCGGCCACACUGGAACUGAGACACGGUCCAGACUCCUACGGGAGGCAGCAGUGGGGAAUAUUAGACAAAGGGCGCAAGCCUGAUCCAGCCAUACCGCGUGGGUGAAGAAGGCCUUCGGGUUGUAAAGCCCUUUUGUUGGGAAAGAAAAGCAGCAGGUUAAUACCCCGCUGUUCUGACGGUACCCAAAGAAUAAGCACCGGCUAACUUCGUG